UACCAGCACCCCGAGUGGUCGGGACGAUUAUUGGGCCUAAAGCAUCCGUAGCCGGUUCUACAAGUCUUCCGUUAAAUCCACCUGCUUAACAGAUGGGCUGCGGAGGAUACUAUAGAGCUAGGAGGCGGGAGAGGCAAGCGGUACUUAGUGGGUAGGGGUAAAAUCCGUUGAUCCAUUGAAGACCACCAGUGGCGAAGGCGGCUUGCCAGAACGCACUCGACGGUGAGGGAUGAAAGCUGGGGGAGCAAACC
rnacentral:rRNA from 1 species